GCCGCCUGUGACGUGGCGAGAAGUCCACUGAACCUUAUCAUUUAGAGGAAGGAGAAGUCGUAACAAGGUUUCCGUAGGUGAACCUGCGGAAGGAUCAUUGUUGUUACCUUUGAACAUGACCGUGAACAUGUAACGUAAUGCUACCGGGGAGAGCCAUCUCCUCGGCCCUGCCGACCCCAGCCAAUUGGUUGGGUGUCGGAAUACGGCGCGGGAUGUCGCCAAGGAACACUGAUUUGCUGAGGCAAGGUGACAAUAUGUUGCACUGCUGACGCCAACUUAACAUUAUGACUCUCGGCAACGGAUAUCUCGGCUCUCGCAUCGAUGAAGAACGUAGCGAAAUGCGAUACGUGGUGUGAAUUGCAGAAUCCCGUGAACCAUCGAGUCUUUGAACGCAAGUUGCGCCCGAGGGAUCCUCCCGAGGGCACGCCUGCCUGGGCGUUAGAAGCCCAUCAACACUCGGUCAACCUUUUUUUAGAGGACGGACUUGAUGUGGACAAUGGACCUCCGAGCCAGUGAUUGGCACGGUGGGCUGAAGUUAAUGGUCGUCGGAUGGUGACUUGAUCGACGAGUUGUGGGCUACUGCGCAUGUCGAUCAAGGCUACCAUUUUGAUGUAUGGCCUCUAUACCCCAGUCGUAACGAGGGGAUUGUUGUUGCAGCAUCUUGUUGUUUCACAAUUUCGGACCGAUACCCCAGGUCAGGCGGGGCCACCCGCUGAGUUUAAGCAUAUAAAUAAG
rnacentral:rRNA from 1 species